UAUUGUGGCAAAUGAUAUAUUGUCAGACUAAUUUAGCAAAUCUUUUUUGUACUGAAAAACAACUGUAAUAAUCUUAGUGUAGAACUUGAAAACAUUCACCUCCAAAAUGCUUAAGUUUAUAAAAAGCAACAUUGAAAUAAGAAUGCUGUUUAAAUUUGAGUAUCAGGACAGCCACAGGACAAGAUAGUGUGCUUGCCAUUUUAAACUCUAAGAAAUCAUGAUUUUGUUAUAAAAAAAUAAACAAAAACAGUGCAUGAAAUAAUCUCAUAUAUUAUGCCCUUUUAAUCUAUAUAGAAUUGAUCAGCCAAUAUGCCCAAUAAUUGCUUUCAUUUAGGUAAAUAAAUACUACAAUAUAUAUCCACUGAGAUUUUACACUACACAGAUCAGAGCUCUGAUAAAACUCAACUGACCAGCAGUUUCCCACCAUCUUAAACUCUUUGCAUGACUAAUUUACUCCACUGGUCAUUCCAACAGAUCAGGCUGUUCCAUUGAAUUAUUUUGGGGAGAGAUAACAUUAUAAAUUUCAUAUGCAGAAUUUGUCUAGGACAUUGCAAUUUUUUUUUUGUUCAGAAAUAUGUAAUGAUUUUUAAAUUCUAUAUAUAUCUAUUUGUUACUUGAAUUUUUGUUACAUUCAAUGAAUGGAGGUUGAGAUGAUGAGUAAAUUAGCCCUGUUUUACAUAAUGAUUGACCUGUCCAUGCAGUUAUACAGUUGUGAAUUUUGAAUUCUAAGAUAUCUGGGUCAGCAAAAAGAGUGCAAAUAACAGAGGAUGUACUUGAUAUUUUAACAAUUUUGGAGAUAUACUUUUGUUUAAGAUCUCAAAGUGUUUUAGUAUUGGUAUGAUAAAUAAGUGUGAAAACAUGGGACAAGGAGAUGAACAACAUAAUCAGACUGGGAGUUAAGUGCUGACUGUGAGAUGCAAGGUGUUUCAAUAAAGAUGUGCAGUAUUAAUCCUGAAAAGGUGAGCACAACCACAAGAAGUUCUUGGAAACACAGGCAGUGGACUUAAAACAGACAUCAAUUAAAGAAAUAGUAAUUUAAAUAAUCAGAAACAUUUGAAACAAAUUUAUGAUUGAAACACUCUCAGCAAAAAAAAUGCAAAAAAACAAAGUGUUGGAUUCUAAGAAAACCAGUACCUACCAAAACUUGCAUGUAGAAAAAAACUGUUUGUGUUAUAGUGAAUGUAAGGUAUUCUAUUCUGUAUUUGGACUAAAGGAUAUGUAUUAAAUUUUGUGAAAGAAAAUUUAAUGUGAUACAUUAUUGAUAAUUUUAUCCCAAAAAAAUGUGAUCAUGUUAAACUCUGAUACAUUAUUGAUAAUUUUAUCCCAAAAAAAUGUGAUCAUGUUAAACUCAUAAAAAUUCCGCCCCAUGAAUUCUGUCCCAGAAUUCCGCCCAGAAUUUUGUUUGACAAUUCUGUUCCAAAAUUCCGUUCCGAAAUUCCGCCCCGAGAUUCCGCUUCAAAAUUCCGCCCCAAGAUUCCGCUUCAAAAUUCCGCCCCAAGAUUCCGCUUCAAAAUUCCGCCCCAACUCAUUUGCAUAUUUCGUCCCAAUUCCGCCCGGAAUCCGUCCCGUUUCCGCCUGGAAUCCGGCCGGAAUCCGUGCCAAAAGCAAAUGGUUUAACACUUGUAUAUUUGGGGGAGAAUUUAAAUUUCUGGGCGGAAUCUGCCAUUGAAUUCCGCCUCAUUUCCGUGCAGACAAUUUCGUACAGG